GAAUUGCGAUAAGUAAUGCGAAUUGCAGAAUUCAGUGAAUCAUCGAAUCUUUGAACGCACCUUGCACCCUCUGGUAUUCCGGAGGGUAUGCCCGGUUGAGUAUUAUGAUCAACUCAAGCCUCCGGUUUUUAAUCGCAAAGGUCUUACAUUCGACGAACCCGUCCAUUGGGAUGGUGGUAGUUGACGCUUGACUUGGAAACUCGGAUUGGCAUUGGACUUGAGCGCAUGUCGGUUGUGUGAACGAUCGACUCGCUUGAAAUGUAUUAGCUGGCGACCCGCCUUACGGUUCCACUCGGCGUAGUAAGUUCUAUUCGUCGAGGACGCCUCUUUGAGGUGGCCGAAAGCGCGUGUUUGAAGCCGCUUCCAGUCGUCUUUGGACGCUUUGAAUCUUUAAUCUCAACUCGGGUAGGACUACCCGCUGAACUUAAGCAUAUCAAUAAGCGGAGGAAAAGAAACUAACAAGGAUUCCCCUAGU
rnacentral:rRNA from 1 species